rnacentral:rRNA from 1 species
AUACGGAGGGUGCAAGCGUUAUUCGGAAUCACUGGGCGUAAAGGACGCGUAGGCGGGUUGGCAAGUCAGAUGUGAAAUCCUACAGCUUAACUGUAGAACUGCAUUUGAAACUGCUAACCUAGAGUAUGGGAGGGGGAGAUGGAAUUAGUGGUGUAGGGGUAAAAUCCGUAGAUAUCACUAGGAAUACCGAAAGCGAAGGCGAUCUCCUGGAACAUAACUGACGCUAAGGCGUGAAGGCGUGGGGAGUAAACAGGAUUAGAAACCCUAGUAGUCC